rnacentral:rRNA from 1 species
CUGCGCCUACGGGACGCAGUAGGGAAUCUUCCACAAUGGGCGAAAGCCUGAUGGAGCAACGCCGCGUGGGUGAAGAAGGUCUUCGGAUCGUAAAACCCUGUUGUUAGAGAAGAAAGUGCGUGAGAGUAACUGUUCACGUUUCGACGGUAUCUAACCAGAAAGCCACGGCUAACUACGUGCCAGCAGCCGCGGUAAUACGUAGGUGGCAAGCGUUAUCCGGAUUUAUUGGGCGUAAAGGGAACGCAGGCGGUCUUUUAAGUCUGAUGUGAAAGCCUUCGGCUUAACCGGAGUAGUGCAUUGGAAAC